rnacentral:rRNA from 1 species
AGUGAUCAGAAGUGAGAAUGUUGACAUGAGUAGCGACAAACAGGGUGAGAGACCCUGUCGCCGAAAGUCCAAGGGUUCCUGCUUAAAGCUAAUCUGAGCAGGGUAAGCCGGCCCCUAAGGCGAGGCCGAAAGGCGUAGUCGAUGGGAACCAGGUUAAUAUUCCUGGGCCAGGAGAUGGUGACGGAUCCCGAGGGUAGUUCGAUCUUAACGGAUUGAUCGGGCUGCUUAGGGGUUCCUGGAAAUAGCCCUCCACAAGACCGUACCCUAAACCGACACAGGUGGACUGGUAGAGAAUACCAAGGCGCUUGAGAGAACCACAUUUAAGGAACUCGGCAAAAUACCUCCGUAAGUUCGCGAGAAGGAGCCCCGGUUUUUACGCAAGUGGAAGCCGGGGGCACAAACCAGGGGGUGGCGACUGUUUACUAAAAACACAGGGCUCUGCGAAGUCGUAAGACGACGUAUAGGGUCUGACGCCUGCCCUGCCGGAAGGUUAAAAGGAGAGGUGCAAGCCUUGAAUUGAAGCCCCGGUAAACGGCGGCCGUAACAAUAACGGUCCUAAGGUAGCGAAAUUCCUUGUCGGGUAAGUUCCGACCUGCACGAAUGGCGUAACGACUUCCCCGCUGUCUCAAAUGUGGACUCAGCGAAAUUGAAUUGUCUGUGAAGAUGCAGACUUCCCGCGGUUAGACGGAAAGACCCCAUGCACCUUUACUACAACUUCGCACUGGCAUCAGGAUUGCGAUGUGCAGGAUAGGCGGUAGGCUUUGAAGCGGGGACGCUAGUCCUCGUGGAGCCAUCCUUGAGAUACCGCCCUUCGCACUCUUGAUGUCUAACCGCGGCCCGUUAUCCGGGUCCGGGACCCUGCGUGGUGGGUAGUUUGACUGGGGCGGUCGCCUCCCAAACAGUAACGGAGGCGCGCGAAGGUUGGCUCAGACCGGUCGGAAAUCGGUCGUUGAGUGCAAUGGCAGAAGCCAGCCUGACUGCAAGACUGACAAGUCGAGCAGAGACGAAAGUCGGCCAUAGUGAUCCGGUGGUCCCGAGUGGAAGGGCCAUCGCUCAACGGAUAAAAGGUACGCUGGGGAUAACAGGCUGAUGAUGCCCAAGAGUCCAUAUCGACGGCAUCGUUUGGCACCUCGAUGUCGGCUCAUCUCAUCCUGGGGCUGGAGCAGGCCCCAAGGGUAUGGCUGUUCGCCAUUUAAAGAGGUACGUGAGCUGGGUUUAGAACGUCGUGAGACAGUUCGGUCCCUAUCUGCCGUGGGUGUUGGAGACUUGAGAGGAGCUGCCCCUAGUACGAGAGGACCGGGGUGGACGUUCCACUGGUGGACCAGUUGUCGUGCCAACGGCAGUGCUGGGUAGCUAUGAACGGACAGGAUAAACGCUGAAGGCAUCUAAGCGUGAAGCCCCCCUCAAAACAAGGUCUCCCUUGAGAGCCGUGGAAGACCACCACGUCGAUAGGCCGGAGAUGUAAGUGCA